UACGUAGGGUGCGAGCGUUGUCCGGAUUUAUUGGGCGUAAAGGGCGCGUAGGCGGUGCGGUAAGUCACCUGUGAAAUCUCCUGGCUCAACUGGGAGCUUGCAGGCGAAACUGCCGUGCUGGAGUGUGGGAGAGGUGCGUGGAAUUCCUGGUGUAGCGGUGAAAUGCGUAGAUAUCAGGAGGAACACCUGUGGCGAAAGCGGCGCACUGGACCACAACUGACGCUGAGGCGCGAAAGCUAGGGGAGCAAACAGG
rnacentral:rRNA from 1 species